rnacentral:rRNA from 1 species
GAUGUCGGCUCGUCACAUCCUGGGGCUGGAGAAGGUCCCAAGGGUUGGGCUGUUCGCCCAUUAAAGUGGCACGCGAGCUGGGUUCAGAACGUCGUGAGACAGUUCGGUCCCUAUCUGUUGUGGGCGCAGGAAAUUUGAGGAGACCUGACACUAGUACGAGAGGACCGUGUUGGACAAACCCCUGGUGCACCUGUUGUGGCGCCAGCCGCAUCGCAGGGUAGCUAUGUUUGGCAAAGAUAAGCGCUGAAAGCAUCUAAGCGCGAAGCUUCCUUCAAGAUAAGAUUUCCAUCGAGGGUCGUCGCAGACUACGACGUCGAUAGGCCGCAGGUGUAAAGGCAGCGAUGUCAAAGCCGAGCGGUACUAAUUACCCGAACUCUUCUUAUA